GGCACGCGUUUGAGCUGGCUCGGACAAGGAGGAGACGACAAGGCAGAUCGGGUUUCGGGUUUGAGAGCAGAGAGAGAGAGACGGCUGAAAAAGGGAGGUAGAUGGGGAGAAGCGACUGAAGAAGAGAGGGCGAUUGGAGAGGGGAAAGAGGGAAAAAAAAACAGAGGGCGAGUGGAGAGGGGUUCCUUUCUCUUUUUUGUAACAGAGAGCGACCGAGAGAAGGAGCCUCCUGAAGAAGCUCUGCGAGAGAGACACCGAGAGGAGGCGGACGCGAUUGGAGCUGGGUUUUGGUGGAGCAAAAAGGGAGAGGCAAAAUUGGGAGGAGAGAUAGAGAUGAGCUCAAUCGGGUUUUAGGAAGAGACACGAGGGAGACGUUCUGGGUUUAUUUUGUCCUUUUCCGGGAAACAUUUCACGGGGAAACAGAGGUGAAAGGGGGAAGACGAGUCCUAAAGGAGAGGGGAUUGAGCUGGGUUUGAAGAAAAAAAGAGAAUAGAGGGACUUAGAGGGAAUAAGCCGAGAGAAAAAGGCCGGGCAAAGGAGAGAGCAAGGAGCGUCGGGCUUGAGAGAGCAUAAAAAAAACUUCAGAGAGCAAGUUUGGUUAAGAUUCAAAUUUUGAUGAUAUCUGCUGUGUCAAAGUAUUUGCAAGCGGUGAACAGUUCAAAGGAAAACUAUGGAGGCACGGCAAACUAUAUCCAUUCGGAGAUCAGGUGCAAGGCAGCUCAGUGAUGGUGGAAUAUCUGGACCACUCUCUCCAUCCAUACCAGUCCUUUCAACACCUCUUGAAAAUACAUUUCCCAAGCUACCACACUCUCAACAGGUGCCUUUUGAAAGGGAAGUUAUGUCAAUGCCUCUUGUACAGGCAGCUCAUUUAUCUUCCACAGUGGACUAGUUGGCGACAUAUUUUCAU